CUCGGCAAACUGUCUCACGCGU
rnacentral:siRNA from 1 species